UGCUUCGGCAACACCCUAAAAUUGGAAUGAUACAGAGAAGAUUAGCAUGGCCUUUACACAAGGAUUACAUGCAAAUUCACGAAGUGUUCCAUUAAAAUUUUUU
rfam:Chlorocebus sabaeus isolate 1994-021 chromosome 1, whole genome shotgun sequence.